rnacentral:rRNA from 1 species
UACGUAGGGGGCUAGCGUUGUCCGGAUUUAUUGGGCGUAAAGAGCGUGUAGGCGGCCAUGUAGGUCCGGUGUGAAAACUCGAGGCUUAACCUCGAGAUGUCAUCGGAAACCAUUUGGCUAGAGUCCGGAAGAGGAGAGUGGAAUUCCUGGUGUAGCGGUGAAAUGCGCAGAUAUCAGGAGGAACACCGAUGGCGAAGGCGGCUCUCUGGGACGGUACUGACGCUGAGACGCGAAAGCGUGGGGAGCGAACAGG